rnacentral:rRNA from 1 species
AGAGUUUGAUCAUGGCUCAGGAUGAACGCUAGCGGCAGGCCUAAUACAUGCAAGUCGAACGGCAGCGGGCUCAGCAAUGAGUGCCGGCGAGUGGCGCACGGGUGCGUAACACGUAUGCAAUCUACCCAUAACUUGGAAAUAGCCCGGAGAAAUCCGGAUUAAUGUCCAAUAAGAAUAUAGAGGGGCAUCCCUUAGUAUUUAAAGAUUUAUUGGUUAUGGAUGAGCAUGCGGUUGAUUAGUUAGUUGGUGAGGUAACGGCUCACCAAGACGAUGAUCAAUAGGGGACCUGAGAGGGUGAUCCCCCACACUGGUACUGAGAUACGGACCAGACUCCUACGGGAGGCAGCAGUAGGGAAUAUUGGGCAAUGGGCGAGAGCCUGACCCAGCCAUGCCGCGUGCAGGAAGAAGGCGUUAUGCGUUGUAAACUGCUUUUGACUGGGAACAAAGAGUCCAUGCGUGGAUAAAUGAGUGUACCAGUAGAAUAAGCACCGGCUAACUCCGUGCCAGCAGCCGCGGUAAUACGGAGGGUGCAAGCGUUGUCCGGAUUUAUUGGGUUUAAAGGGUGCGUAGGCGGUUUUCUAAGUCAGUGGUGAAAGGCAGCAGCUCAACUGUUCGCACUGCCAUUGAUACUGGGAGACUUGAGUACAGACGAGGUAGGCGGAAUUUAUGGUGUAGCGGUGAAAUGCAUAGAUACCAUAAAGAACACCGAUUGCGAAGGCAGCUUACUAGGCUGUAACUGACGCUGAGGCACGAAAGCGUGGGGAUCGAACAGGAUUAGAUACCCCCGUAGUCC